UACGGAAGGGGGCUAGCGUUGCUCGGAUUGACUGGGCGUAAAGGGCGCGUAGGCGGUUCGUACAGUCAGACGUGGAAAUCCUGGCUCAACCUGGGGCUGCGUUUGAUACGUGCGGUACUUGAGUGCGGAAGAGGGUCGUGGAAUUUCCCAGUGUAGAGGUGAAAUUCGUAGAUAUUGGGAAGAACACCCAGUGGCGAAGGCGGCUCACUGGCCCGUUACCGAGCUCAGGCGCGA
rnacentral:rRNA from 1 species